AUUGAACGCUGGCGGCAGGCCUAACACAUGCCAGUCGAGCGAGCGGCGGACGGGUGAGUAAUGUAUGGGGACUGCCCGAUAGAGGGGGAUAACUACUGGAAACGGUAGAUAAAAACGCAUACUAUCGGAUAACCCAUAUGGGAUUAGCUAGUGGGUGAGGUAAUGGCUCACCAAGGCGCCGCGCCCUAGCUGGUCUGAGAGGAUGAUCCGCCACACUGGGACGGAGACACGGCCCAGGCGCCUACGGAGGCAGCAGUGGGGAAUAUUGCACAAUGGGCGCAAGCCUGAUGCAGCCAUGCCGCGUGUAUGAAGAAGGCCCUAGGGUUGUAAAGUACUUUCAGUCGGGAGGCGUUACCGACAGAAGAAGCACCGGCUAACUCCGUGCCAGCAGCCGCGGUAAUUC
rnacentral:rRNA from 1 species